AUAAGAAAUGGAUUAGUAGUACUGGUAGAGCUACUGCUACUAGUAAACACACUAAUACAAGAAGACUUGCUCCUUCAAUCAGUAAACAAUCUACAGCUCAAUUAUAGUCACUUGAUAUCACUGAUCUUCAAAAAGUGUUGAAUUUGCUGCAGAUGCUCAUUUCAACGUAGACUGGGAGGGACUGGGUCUGUAUAAAACUAGGACUCUAUCAGCACCCAACACUCUCCAACUUACAACAUACUCAUGAUAGGGGGCUGCCCAUAGGGAGUGUCUUGCUGUCUGGUUACAAAGAGCUGAUGGUGUGGAUCAUAGUAAAAAUGGAGGAGCUAACUAUGUAUCACUAGCUAAUGCUGUAGAGAGAUUGGGACAAAGAGCUGCAGCUGAUGACAUACGAAUUUAUUUUUAUUAAGAGACUGGAGGGAGAACUCCAAUGACUCCAUUACCAGUUCAAGAAGACAGUUACAUUGCAGAAAAA